rnacentral:misc_RNA from 1 species
CGCACAUUGCGCCCCACGGUACCCCGUGGGGCAUGCCUGUUCGAGCGUCAUUGCACCAAUCAAGCUUGCUUGGAAUUGGGCUCGCCCCCUGGGCGUGCCUGAAAAACAUAGGCGGUCCCGUGCGGCUUUGAGCGUAGUAAAUUCUCUCCCGCUUUGAAAGCUCGCAUCGCGGCUGGCCUUGCGCGCCCUUUAGAAUUGACCUCGGAUCAGGUAGGGAUACCCGCUGAACUUAA